UACUCCAUACGGAACCGGGCACAGCAAGUGGAGUGGGUCAGGCAGCCUGAUGCUCCUCUACCCAUUCGGACCAGUAAUUAUACCCCGGACCAUGCACGUCAAGAUUCCCAGAGUCUGAAUGAUACCUGCUCCAUGUUUGUUCAGACUAUGGUUGGUCACCUUCCGACUUAGUGUAGUCGUACGGUCUACGAACGGGUACAAUCUGAGUAUUGAUCGAUUCCCGGCAGACAGCCUUUCUGUUAUCCUCCGGUGACCAUACCACACCAGCACACUUGAAACAUUCCCUCGUGGUCUGGCAGGUGCCUGUAGGGUCACUGGUGCCACAUCCGUUACUGACUCUGAGUUAUUUUCUUCCGUUUUGUCCACGAUGUGUGAACGGAGUCUUUCCGAUGUCAAAAACAUACGUCGGGUAUCUCUCAAUUUUGCUGAUUUUCAGUCCAGCCAGGCAUCAUAAACUAAACUCUCAUGGCUAAAAUGGAUAUGUGACCCAGGCAUAUGACGUCAACAAGUUAACAUAUGGCUGCGGUAUAGGAAUGGAUUUUUCCGUAAAUAAACAUGCCUUGUCACUGGUGAUUUCUGAACGGACAUUGACGAAUAUUUGGAGUUGUUUGAUCCUGAUAUGUGUACGGUGAUCAUGCCGCAUGAAGCGAAUUCUGCAAGCAGCGGUCAUACAGCGGAACAGCAAGGACAAGAUAGACACACACAGACACACACAGAGAUGUUCCUCCUGGGACAAUCACAUGUCUGUAUAGACUGUAUACCUUUUGUUGUUUUGUUAUGUAGUAGAUAAUAUGUGGUUAUACUGUCAUGUAGUUGACUAUGCAUACCAUUUGCUUGCAUUGUUAUGUAGCGUUUGUGUAUAUUGGAAUGUAACUGACUAUAUAUAGUGUUUGGUUAUAUUGGUAUGUAACUGACUAUAUAUCGUGUGUUGUUAUAUUGUUAUCUAGUUGACAAUAUAUAGUGUUUGUUACAGUGGUAUGUAGUUGACAGUAUAUAGUGUUUUGUUAUAUUGGUAAGUAACUGACUAUAUAUCGUGUUUUCUUAUAUUGUUAUCUAGUUGACAAUAUAUAGUGUUUGUUACAGUGGUAUGUAGUUGACUGUAUAUAGUGUUUGUUACAGUGGCAUGUAGUUGACUGUAUAUAGUGUUUGUUACAGUGGUAUGUAGUUGACUGUAUAUAGUGUUUGUUACAGUGGUAUGUAGUUGACUGUAUAUAGUGUUUGUUACAGUGGUAUGCAGUUGACUGUAUAUAGUGUUUGUUACAGUGGUAUGCAGUUGACUGUAUAUAGUGUUUGGUCUAAUCAUUAUGCAAUUAACUGAGUAUACAGUUUGGUUAUAUUGUGGUCGUUCAGUGGCUACGGAGAGAGAGACCAAUCUAAUGAAUUAAUAUAAUGCAAAUGUACUUGUAUUACACUUUGAAA